GAAUCCUUGUCUCCUGCUUUGGCAGGCAGACUCUCCACCGCUAAGCCACCAGGGUAGUCCCUGGAGAUUCUCAGAUUCCAGAACACUUGGAUUCCUAACCAUGAUAAUAUUGAUAAAAUUGUUCUUUUGUGUAAAUACUGUCUGAUUUCUAUCUUGCUGUUUCUACUCUUAAAAAAUAUGCUGCUUCUAAAAAAUAUCUGUAAUGUCUAAUGACAAUUAUAUAAAGAAAAAGCGGCUCUUUUCUUUAAAGAAAAUGGUGCAGUUCACAUUCAAUAUUUGCUUUUGUAGCAUGCACUACCUCUCUUUCCUAUUUCUAUAGUGAACCUCCCCGCCCCUCUGCAGAGUAUUUAGGUGUUUCAGGUGGGAUGAACCCAGCAGGAAUUCCUCGGAUAGAUUGGCAUAAUUUAACAGCCCCUUGUAUCUUUCUGGCCACAUGAUAGGUUGGGAAGGAGCUCAUACCUCGGGCAUAAGCCAAUCAGUGCCUAUCAUUCUAAUAGCUGACGUGAUUGGUUUAUAGAACUAUAGACGCAAGGUGAGACACUUGCUUUCUCCUCCAGGGUAGGAGGAGGUGGUACCUAACGCCAGUCUCUGUUGGCCCCCAUUCUGGAGGGGGAACUGAAAGCUCGGAUUCGUGGAGCUCAAGUUCUGACCGCACCACGUCUGACGUCGUCCUCACUCACUGACAUUUCAGUCAUUACGGCCAUCAGAAAGAAAAGUCAAAAUUGAAUAGACGUCAAACAUUACCUCGACAUGAUCAUCACUGUAACCGGGACCUCAUUAUAAUUUCAUCUUCUUAUUCAAGGCCAAACAAAAUUCAGCUGCUUGCUGAAAUGUGAGCAGAGGGUUACAGCAGAAGUGCUCGGGGCUGAGUACCACGAUCAUCUCUGUGGCCUCACCAGCCUGGGCUGCCCCAGUGGGUCAGGCUCCCUUCUACUUGGCCAGCCUUCUCCUGCUGCCAGUUUCCUCAGAUACCAUGUGCAAGCAAUCCAAAUCCAACUGCUCUAAAAUUCACUGGAAAAGAAGUACCCAUGCUUUUAAGAAGCUUCAGAGUGAGUCAUGAAAAAACAUUUUUAGAAGAUAUAAAUGUCACUGGAACCUAAAUGUCGAAAAUUUGUGCAAAGGCUUUGUUCAUGAAACUAAUGAAUUCCCUAUACUUUGAUGGACGGGAAAGCCUGGCAUGCUGCAGUCCAUGAGGUCGCAAAGAGUCAGACAUGACUGAGCAACUAAACUACACAAAGGUAAGUGUCAAAACAAUUAGCACAAAAUUUAAGAGUCCUAAAAAAGAGAUAAGGUAUUUGAAAUAUACAAAUUGUAUAAUUUAUAACAGCAGAAAGAACCUAAAAUCUUAACAUAAACUUCUAUAAUCACUGUAAAUUUAUGUGCACUUUCCUAUUAGGAUUAUCAGUAGCUUUGAGGAUGCACAUAAAUGAAGACAGAUUUAAAAACCUUGAUUGGACUUCCCUGGUGGUGCAGUGGUUAAGAAUCCACCUGCCAAUGCACGGGACAUGGGUUGAAUCCCUGAUCCAAGAAGAUCCCACAUGCUGUGGGGAAAGUAAGCCCAUGCGCCUCAACUAUUAAGCCUGUGCUCUAGAGCCCGCGCUCCACAACAAGAGAAGCCACUGCAAGGAGGAGCUGGUGUACCCCAACGAAGGGUGACCCCAACUCAUCCCAACUAGAAAAAGCCAACAUGCAGCAACGAAGACCCAACGCAGCCAAAAACAAACAAACAUUUAAAAAUAUUGACUGAUUUCCAGUGUACACUGAGUGUGUUUUGAGGCCUACAUACAGCUGGUGUGGCGGGAUCUUUGUUUUCCUCUAUAUAUGUCCCUCGUGGCUCCAAUUCAACUUUUCACUGCAUGUGGCUGAGGUCUGUGGAUAAGAAAAUCAAUGACAGAGUCCCUGUCCCACACAAGGCUCACUACUGACCAGGAGCCAUGCAACAAAAGGCGUGAGGAGGAACAACUGUGCAUCUUGGGAACAACGAAGGGAACUUCAUUGGGGACAAUGAAGAAAACCAGGACAGGUAGGGGACAGUGUGUAUUUCACAGAGAGGUGCGUAUCACUUACUCCCAUGACGCCCUCAACAUACCUAAUAUAUCAAUGCUUGAAAACAGAAUGUCUGCACUGUUACAUAGCUCAACUGACACUGUUCCUUGUAUUAACCUCCCAUGAAAUCUUUUCUGCUGUUUUGACAACAAAGUCAUUUCUUAAAUAUCACUCAUAAAAUUUAAGAUUUAAAAUAGUUUUAUCUUCAAGGUCCUACUAUAGGACCUUGGUCCUACAGGAAACUCUGUAGGUCCAUGGGAAACUCCGGUCAAUGUUAUGUGGCAGCCUGGAUGGGAGGGGAGUUUGGGGGAGAGUGGAUACAUGUGUAUGUAUGGCUGAGUCCCUUUGCAGCACACCUGAAACUAUCACAACAUUGUUAAUUAGCUAUAUACUCCAACACAAAAUAAAAAGUUAAAAUUAAAAAAAAAUUGUAUCUGUCUUUCAUAUUUCAUAGAAUUUAAUAGUUUUCCUAAUGUUAAAGAAAAGGGCUGUGAUAAAAAUAAUUAAUAAUUGGCUUGAAAACACAUUUCUGUAUGUGAACUGGAACUGAUUUCUUUUCUGGAAAUUUAUAACACUUGACACUAAAAUUAGUCAAAUGAUGAAAUCUUCAGUCAGGGAAUUAGGUGUUUGGUUUCUGCAGGUUAUACUUGCUUUUAACUUCUUCCUCUCUACUUCAGGAGGGAAAUGAACAGCAAAAGCUGUCAGAUGAAAUACAACAAAUCAGAAAGGUCUGUACUUUUUUAACUGUAUUUAUAGCUUUCCCUGUAAGGAAAAGUUAAACCUGUAUCUGCCAUUAAACCCACUUGCUGGAUGUUUGCCAGUACAAUAAAAGUAAAUACAGUAAUAAAUAAUGAAAUAGAUCCACUAAACCUAGCACUGUCAGUUUAGUCUUUAGUAUAAUUUAUAUAAUUCAUACUUCUUACAACAGACACAAAUAAAGAACACUAACAAGUACAAGCUGAGAGAGCACGCUGAGUAACCAGCAAAGUGCAACAGGAUCAAGAAACAUCAAAAAUAGAAUUAUUUAUUUUCUCCCUUUAGUCCAACAUCUAGCAAGUCUACGUAGGCAUACCAGAAUAAUGAAAAAGGCAAUGAUGAUGAUGAUGACAGCUAAGAUUUACUGGGCAUUUAACGUGUACUAGGUUCUGCUAAAUGUUUUAUAUUUAAGCCUGACAACAAUCCUAAGAACAAGACCCUAUUACUAAACCCUACUUUAAAGACAUGGGCGAAGAGGCUGAGCCAUGUUAGGAAGUGGCAAGGCUGGGAUGCUAACAGAGGCUUCUGAAUUCAAAACUCUAAACCACUCAAUUGUGGGAAGAGAAAGAUUAUAAAGUAUGGGAUUUAGCAACAGUUUUCUGCGGGCAAAAAUUUUAAACAUAUUCAAAUGUAUUUAACCUAGUUCCAUAUUGCUAUACUAUACACUAAAACUGGGGAAAUAUUCCAUCCUAAAAGAGCAACUGACUUCUAAAUCACUGAACUAUUAAUAAAUUUCAAAAUAUUUUCCUAGAUGUUGUAACAAACUAUUUUAUAUCACAUAAAUUAGAUUUUUAUCCUCUAGAAAAUAGUAACUCAAAACAUUUAAUUUCAGUUAUUUUCACCAUAACACAGUGAUUUCUGAAAAAAAAUCAGAAGUCAAACUUGUAAAGUUGGUAAAGAUAAAGAAAUUAUAACUAAAUCAUGACAGACAUGACUGAAAUUAUUCCAAAAC